AACGAACGCUGGCGGCAUGCCUAACACAUGCAAGUCGAACGAGACCUUCGGGUCUAGUGGCGCACGGGUGCGUAACGCGUGGGAACCUGCCCUUAGGUUCGGAAUAACUCCCCGAAAGGGGUGCUAAUACCGGAUAAUGUCUUCGGACCAAAGAUUUAUCGCCUUUGGAUGGGCCCGCGUUGGAUUAGCUAGUUGGUAGGGUAAAAGCCUACCAAGGCGACGAUCCAUAGCUGGUCUGAGAGGAUGAUCAGCCACACUGGGACUGAGACACGGCCCAGACUCCUACGGGAGGCAGCAGUGGGGAAUAGUGGACAAUGGGCGAAAGACUGAUCCAGCAAUGCCGCGUGAGUGAUGAAGGCCUUAGGGUUGUAAAGCUCUUUUACCCGGGAUGAUAAUGACAGUACCGGGAGAAUAAGCUCCGGCUAACUCCGUG
rnacentral:rRNA from 1 species